rnacentral:rRNA from 1 species
UACGUAGGGGGCAAGCGUUGUCCGGAUUUAUUGGGCGUAAAGAGCGUGUAGGCGGCCAUUCAGGUCAGCUGUGAAAACUCGAGGCUCAACCUCGAGACGUCGGUUGAAACCGUUUGGCUAGAGUCCGGAAGAGGAGAGUGGAAUUCCCGGUGUAGCGGUGAAAUGCGCAGAUAUCGGGAAGAACACCCGUGGCGAAGGCGGCUCUCUGGACCGAGACUGACGCUGAGGCGCGAAAGCGUGGGGAGCAAACAGG